UACGUAGGUGGCAAGCGUUGUCCGGAUUUACUGGGCGUAAAGAGCGCGCAGGCGGCUGGUCAAGUCCGAUGUGAAGUCUCCCGGCUUAACUGGGAAACUGCAUCGGAAACUGAUCGGCUUGAAGGUGGGAGAGGGUAGUGGAAUUCCCGGUGUAGUGGUGAAAUGCGUAGAUAUCGGGAGGAACACCAGUGGCGAAGGCGACUACCUGGCCCAUUCUUGACGCUGAGGCGCGAAAGCUAGGGGAGCGAACGGG
rnacentral:rRNA from 1 species